GUAUGUUACAGCUCUUCUGGAAUUGGUUUAGCACAUUUUAUGGUCCUUACCAGAAGACAC
rnacentral:snRNA from 1 species